rnacentral:tRNA from 1 species
ACAUCCUUUUGGAAGGUUAUCCGGGGCUUGGGAAGACCAUCACGGUAAAAACCGUUGCCGGUGUAUUGGAUGCAAAAUUCCAAAGGGUGCA